rnacentral:rRNA from 1 species
AUUGAACGCUGGCGGCAGGCCUAACACAUGCAAGUCGAGCGGAUGAAGGGAGCUUGCUCCUGGAUUCAGCGGCGGACGGGUGAGUAAUGCCUAGGAAUCUGCCUGGUAGUGGGGGAUAACGUCCGGAAACGGGCGCUAAUACCGCAUACGUCCUGAGGGAGAAAGUGGGGGAUCUUCGGGCCUCACGCUAUCAGAUGAGCCUAGGUCGGAUUAGCUAGUUGGUGGGGUAAAGGCCUACCAAGGCGACGAUCCGUAACUGGUCUGAGAGGAUGAUCAGUCACACUGGAACUGAGACACGGUCCAGACUCCUACGGGAGGCAGCAGUGGGGAAUAUUGGACAGUGGGCGAAAGCCUGAUCCAGCCAUGCCGCGUGUGUGAAGAAGGUCUUCGGAUUGUAAAGCACUUUAAGUUGGGAGGAAGGGCAGUAAGUUAAUACCUUGCUGUUUUGACGUUACCAACAGAAUAAGCACCGGCUAACUUCGUG